rnacentral:snRNA from 1 species
UUAUUAAUGUUUUAGAAUAGCUGUUAUUGGGCAAGGCUUACCCAUUGCAUUCCAGGAUGUGCUGACCCCUGGGAUUUCCCCAAAUGUGGGAAACUCGGCUGCAUAAUUUGUGGUAGUGGGGGACUGUGUUCACGCUCUCCCCUA